AUUGAACGCUGGCGGCAGGCCUAACACAUGCAAGUCGAACGACUGGCAGAUGGGUGAGUGAUGGCUGGGAGACUGCCUGAUGGAGGGGGAUAACUACUGGAAACGGUAGCCAAUACCGCAUACCAUCAUAUGUUCCCUGGUGGGAUUAGCUGGUUGGUGGGGUAAAGUCUAACCUAGGCGACGAUCCCUAGCUGGUCUGAGAGGAUGACCGGCAACACUGGAACUGGGACAGGGUCCAGACUCCUACGGGGGGCAGAAGUGGGGAAUAUUGCAAAAUGGGCGCAAGCCUGACGCAGCCAUGCCGCGUGUAUGAAGAAGGCCUUCGGGUUGUAAAGUACUUUGUGCAGGGAGACGUUACCCGACGAAGAAGCACCGGCUAACUCCGUGCCAGCAGCCGCGGUAAUUC
rnacentral:rRNA from 1 species